rnacentral:rRNA from 1 species
UACGUAGGGGGCAAGCGUUGUCCGGAAUCAUUGGGCGUAAAGAGCUUGUAGGCGGUUUGUCGCGUCUGCUGUGAAAAUCCGGGGCUCAACCCCGGACUUGCAGUGGGUACGGGCAGACUAGAGUGUGGUAGGGGAGACUGGAAUUCCUGGUGUAGCGGUGGAAUGCGCAGAUAUCAGGAGGAACACCGAUGGCGAAGGCAGGUCUCUGGGCCACUACUGACGCUGAGAAGCGAAAGCAUGGGGAGCGAACAGG